UUAUAGAAUAGAUACUGUUCUUUAUAGAAUAGAUACUGUGUUUAACCAGUAAUGUAUUUACUUAUCAUUUAUUAUUUAUUCUGAUGAAUUAGCCCAAUUAGCCUCUAUCUGCUUUUGUUAUUAAGAAUUAGAAGCUAAAGGAAAAUCCAGCUUUUUGUUAAAUGUUUUCAUAUAAAUCACUGAACACUUUUGAGAUUAGAUGGUAGAUUCCCCCCUUAAGACAGUUUUUCACAUAUGUUCAAAGUGAGUCUCAUAACCUGCUGUGGAAUGAGAGAUUUCUAAAAUUCAGGCCAUAAUGUUGGGGUCUCCUAUGGUUUGUGGUGGCACUGGGAUUGGACAACCAUCCAUCUUUGUGGCAGAUGUUCUUUUAAGUGACUCCUAAGUACUCAACUGUUAAAUUUAGCCCAGCUUCACUGGAAUGAAUCUCCUUGAAGGACCUAGGUUUCUGAUGCUCUUAAUGUCCUCAGUUCUGCUCCAGCCUCUUCCCUCUCUGCUACUGCCACUCUUUUGGCAUAAUCAUCUCCCAGUGGUGAGUAACACUGACACUGCCUAUCUGGCUUUUGGAAGGAAAAACCAUUUCUUAUUCCCCAGGCUACAAGCAAGACCAGGACUGUGACCUUUUUUAUAAGAUAUUACUCCAUGUUACGGGUACUAAUUUAAGCUGUUACUUUCUUGUGUCUAUUACUCUUAGAGCCCUCAGACUCCAGAAUCAAAAUCUAAAUCCUUGCCUCACCUCAGGUAGGUUUCCAGCUAGCAAAAGGUCACACACUGGCCCCACACCAACAGGAUUCUUCAAAACUAUGACCAUUUCCCACCUGUCCAGGUCCCAUUCCUGCCCUCAGCCUCUGCACUCCUGUCCUCCCAACUCAAGGGAAAAUAGGCCUUCUUUCCCGCUACUCUUUGCUUAAUGCCUUGUCCCAGAAUUAAACAUUUUCUAACAUGAUGGACAGUGAAGAACAUUCACUCCCUUCAGAAGGAAAUUCCUGUUUCAGCAAUAGGCACAUAACUGCAACAAAAUCAAAAUUAUUUAUGGUAGGUUUCUAACAGUGUGGUAUAUUAAAUCUUCAAUAGCAUUGCACAGACGGUAUCUAUCAAGGGUCCUGUACUGGGUGCAGUACCCAGUCAAGUUCCUUGUCAAUGUCUGUGCUCCAGUGGCAAACAGAGAGAGAAUCAGUUCUGCCUGCUCAGUUAAUCAAUAAAUGGUUUCAGCAAAGAGGUGUACCA
ensembl:lncRNA